GACGAACCGUGCGAACGUUGUUCGGAAUCACUGGGCUUAAAGGGCGCGUAGGCGGAUCAGCAAGUCUGGGGUGAAAUCCUUCGGCUCAACCGGAGAACUGCCUUGGAUACUGCUGAUCUCGAGGGAGGUAGGGGCAGCUGGAACUUCCGGUGGAGCGGUGAAAUGCGUUGAUAUCGGAAGGAACGCCGGUGGCGAAAGCGAGCUGCUGGACCUCUUCUGACGCUGAGGCGCGAAAGCCAGGGGAGCAAACGGG
rnacentral:rRNA from 1 species